GAGCCGUCUACAUCUGCACGGAAGACGCCUUCCCGCACAAGCGCCUGCAGCAGCUCAUGGCCCAGCAGCCGCGGCUGCGCACUGACGUUCCAGGAGAGCUGCUUCAGAAGCUCCGAUUUGGCAGCCAGAUCUUCAUCGAGCACGUGGCCGAUGUGGCCACUGCUGCUGCUGUCGUUUUCCACAAAAAGAGGCUCGGCCAGAGACGCCCUGGAGAUGAAGCACAGACGAGUUUCACUCAGGGCGUGCAGGCGGCCCUCAGGCGUCUUCAGAGCUCCGGGCGUGACACCAGCGUGUGGCUGCAGACCUUGGACUUGAGGGACAGCCUAGGGGCCCCUUAGCAGCCUCCAUCUGGCCAGAGCUGCUGGCAAGGCCCGUGGGGCCUGAACUACACUGCUUGGUGCCAGGAGCA
rnacentral:lncRNA from 1 species